UGGAAGUAUUUCAAUGAGAUACCC
rnacentral:siRNA from 1 species